UACGAAGGGUGCAAGCGUUACUCGGAAUUACUGGGCGUAAAGCGUGCGUAGGUGGUUCGUUAAGUCUGAUGUGAAAGCCCUGGGCUCAACCUGGGAAUUGCAUUGGAUACUGGCGGGCUAGAGUGCGGUAGAGGAUGGCGGAAUUCCCGGUGUAGCAGUGAAAUGCGUAGAGAUCGGGAGGAACAUCUGUGGCGAAGGCGGCCAUCUGGACCAGCACUGGCACUGAGGCACGAAAGCGUGGGGAGCACACAGG
rnacentral:rRNA from 1 species